rnacentral:rRNA from 1 species
UACGUAGGUGGCAAGCGUUGUCCGGAUUUAUUGGGCGUAAAGCGAGCGCAGGCGGUUCCUUAAGUCUGAUGUGAAAGCCCACGGCUCAACCGUGGAAGGUCAUUGGAAACUGGGGAACGUUGAGUGCAGAAGAGGAGAGUGGAAUUCCAUGUGUAGCGGUGAAAUGCGUAGAUAUAUGGAGGAACACCAGUGGCGAAGGCGACUCUCUGGUCUGUAACUGACGCUGAGGCUCGAAAGCGUGGGGAGGCAAACAGGAUUAGAUA